rnacentral:lncRNA from 1 species
CCAGAGUUGGCCAAAAGCACAGCGGAGGUGCAAAUCCAGAGACAAAUGCAAGUGCUCAGCCAGGUCUCCAGCUCAAGAAACAUCUCAGGAAGGAGUGAAAAGAGGUCACUGUGAGAGCAAAUCCAGCUGGUGGUUAUGAGAAUGUGGAAUGUGGGGGUGAUGGAGCUCCGCUUCUACUGACUCUUCAGAAGGUUCCCAGGAAUCCACGGAGUCCCAGAGUCUUUAGGAAAAGAAGGAUCUUGUGAGGUCAUGUUGUCCAGUUCUCAUCUGACAGAAAGAAUCCAUUCCACCAUCCUAGAAACCCAAAUACUCAUCAUGAUCAAAAGCACUCCUGAAACCCAGGCGUCUCCACCCUACGGCAUCUUUCUUUCUGUUGUGCUUGAAGUUCUCCCCACUGUCCUCCUGACUCAGUCCCUCCUCAUACGUUAAAGCCAUGGUCACCGGCCUGUCCUUGGUUUCCAUUACCUGGCACACUAUGGCAAAGCCACUGCUCGUGGCCACCAGACAGGUCGAGGCAGGCACUGGGGCCAAUCCCAUUCCUUGCUAUGCCUGAUGCCCUUCCGUGCCUGAUGCCCCUCUGUCAUCUCUUUGUUUGCACAGCUGUGACCUGCAUUGUCUCCACUAACGACAGCGUCCUUAACCCGGACAGUGACCCAGCAAGUGGCAGCCCACGCUCGCCGGCCGGGUCCAAGUUUUAAGUAAAGAAGCCAUUUGUUCCCAGGCUCAUUUUUAUCAAGGCUCGUCUGUCUUUCCAAAUUAGGGCUGAGUCAUUUAUAAAGCAUGUGAGUGUUUGGAUGUUAGCAGCAAACAUUCAUCCAUUUUAGAAUAAAUGAUUAAAAGGCACUCAUUAAAUUCCUCUGUUGACUGAUGCCAAGGCCCCGAGAACGGAUUGGCCUGUUGGCUUCUGGCUGGCCUGACUGCCAUCCCACCUACUGAGAACUCUCGUAGACUCUGGAGAGAAAAUUCCUGCUCGAGGGGACACCCUGAUGGAAGAUAACAGGAAGGAUGGCACUCAGGCCUGUUCCCCCAAUAUUACAGCACAGUUAUCUACCUUCAGAGUGGCCGCACCCAACAGACUCUUGGUGAGUGGGAGGACAACCCCUUCUCCCCUCCAAAGAUCUAGGGACAAUGUGUGCCAUUCCUUCCCAUGGGCAUGGGGAAUGUUUAACUCAAAAGUCAAGGGAAUAAUUCCAUAAUGACUGAAAACUAAGUAUUUCCAGUCCUGAUAAGAAUGGCGCUCUGUGCCCACUCCAGGAAUACAAGAAUUGGCAAGACUCUCCUGUGGCCCCUGCCCUGGAAGGUAGAAGGUAAAAGAUCAUACACAGACAGGUAAACCAACUCCCGAACAGAACUGGGAGCCUCGGACCACAGGCUCUGACCCUUUGCUGGCCAGCAGGUGCAGAGGGAAGGAGCUUCUGCUGUCCUUGCCCCCAGCAAAUGUCCAUCCUCACCACAAGGGAACAAACCAUGCCCAAUGCCUCGUUGGGGGCACUGGCGCCCCUUGAAUGUAUCCUCUCUAGGAUCCUUGGCCCCACCCACCUGUUUGCCAUCUCCAAAGGUCCUUUCUUAAUGUCUUUAAUUUGGAUGGCUCUGACAGCUCCCCACGGCUGGCCUGAGAAAAUCGCACACUCCUCUGCAUGCCAUUUAUCAGGUCACAGCGUGAGUUUCCCGGGCCCUCCUUCCACUAAAAAAACAUUAAAACAUAUAUAUUACAAUGGCAUUGGUAAACAGGAACCUAUUGAUUUAUAUACUGAAAACAUUUUUCCUCAACCUAAAAGUUCAUGUAUUUCGUUUUGAUUUUAAAAGCAAUUAAAACAUUUCGUGAGUCCUGAAAUCACUGUGGGCCCGAGGCACUGAGCCACCAUACCCGAUACUGAAGGGGGUCUAGGUCAGUCCUCUCUGCAGCCGUCCAGCCGCAGGUUCCCCCUGGGAGCUGCCCUUCCAGGCCUCCCUGCCUGUGCUGCUGCUGCUGCUGCUGCUGCUGCUCCUGCUCCUGCUCCUGCUCCUGCUCCUGCACCCUCAAUGCUGCCUCAUCCUUCUCUGCCACGAAACGUCCUACAAAGGUGUUAAGCCCUGGACCUAGUGUGAUGCUCCCAGGCCCUGGAGGCAGCAUCUGUGCAUCUUCUUUGCCCUCUGCCACCACUCUGACCCCCUGCAAGCCCAGACAGACAACGGUGUCUUCCUGACCAGGUGACAGGAUCCUGCAUUCAUCCCACAAACGCCUCCUGGGCACUGCCUGUGGGGAUGCAGGAAGGAUCUAAUAAAUGGCCUGGCCGAUGCUUUGUAUGUUCUGGAGACUCUGAAGUAUUUUGUGUGUGCUGUUUCGGUUCAUCCCACACUGUAAAACCCCGAGGAGGUCCUUCUGAUCGGACAUGAGUCACCACCAGGUACCUCAGUGGGUAAUGACAUCGCUGAGAUGCCCACACAGGCAUUCUAGGUCCAGGGUGGGUGCUCUGGCCCCUGCCCUG